UGAAGGCUGAAAUUACGCCUUCAUGAAGCUGGAAUUGCUAGUAAUGGCAGGUCAGCAUACUGCCGUGAAUACGUUCCCGGGCCUUGUACACACCGCCCGUCACACCAUGAGAGUUGGAAAUACCCGAAGCCUGUGAGCUAACUUAAAGAGGCAGCAGUCGAAGGUAGAGCCAAUGAUUGGGGUGAAGUCGUAACAAGGUAAC
rnacentral:rRNA from 1 species